UAAUGAAUUGCCUGAAAAAAGGAUUACCUUGAUAGGGUAAAUCAUGUAAUUACAUUACAUUCAUUAA
rnacentral:tRNA from 1 species